GUUAAUUAACAAUUACAAAAGAACUUGGAAAUAAGAAAAAUAUCGCCCGGUACAAAACAUAACCGAAGAGCCUUGAAUACUAGAAGAAAAGCACCUAUACCUAACACGAUUAAGUGAAUGCCCAAGAUUGUGGUCCAGAUAUUUAUAUCUUUCCA
rnacentral:antisense_RNA from 1 species